rnacentral:ncRNA from 1 species
UUUAUAAUUGCAAGGUUAAGUUCCUUGAGAAUGGAGCUGUGGCAAAAGCAAGGUUUUACAGAGCUGUUAGUAAGUGAUUAGAGAACCAAAUCUCAGUGAACUAACAAUUAGCAGGCUCAAAUUAGGAUAAAGCCUAACAGAGGGUAAAUCAGUGACCAUUGAGAUAAUACUUGGAUGACUUGUCAUUAGGAGUAAAAACCCCAUCAGACUUAAAGAUAGUUGG